UCCGGAUCGCAGUCUGCAACUCGACUGCGUGAAGUCGGAAUCGCUAGUAAUCGCGGAUCAGAAUGUCGCGGUGAAUACGUUCCCGGGUCUUGUACACACCGCCCGUCACACCAUGGGAGUGGGUUCUACCAGAAGUAGUUAGCCUAACCGUAAGGAGGGCGAUUACCACGGUAGGGUUCAUGACUGGGGUGAAGUCGUAACAAGGUAGCCGUAUCGGAAGGUGCGGCUGGAUCACCUCCUUUC
rnacentral:rRNA from 1 species